AGAGUUUGAUCCUGGCUCAGGAUGAACGCUGACAGAAUGCUUAACACAUGCAAGUCUACUUGAACUUCGGUUUGGGUGGCGGACGGGUGAGUAACGCGUAAAGAACUUGCCUCACAGUUAGGGACAACAUUUGGAAACGAAUGCUAAUACCUGAUAUUAUGAUUUUAGGGCAUCCUAAGAUUAUGAAAGCUAUAUGCGCUGUGAGAGAGCUUUGCGUCCCAUUAGCUAGUUGGAGAGGUAACGGCUCACCAAGGCGAUGAUGGGUAGCCGGCCUGAGAGGGUGAACGGCCACAAGGGGACUGAGACACGGCCCUUACUCCUACGGGAGGCAGCAGUGGGGAAUAUUGGACAAUGGACCAAAAGUCUGAUCCAGCAAUUCUGUGUGCACGAUGACGUUUUUCGGAAUGUAAAGUGCUUUCAGUUGGGAAGAAAAAAAUGACGGUACCAACAGAAGAAGUGACGGCUAAAUACGUGCCAGCAGCCGCGGUAAUACGUAUGUCACAAGCGUUAUCCGGAUUUAUUGGGCGUAAAGCGCGUCUAGGUGGUUAUGUAAGUCUGAUGUGAAAAUGCAGGGCUCAACUCUGUAUUGCGUUGGAAACUGCAUGACUAGAGUACUGGAGAGGUAAGCGGAACUACAAGUGUAGAGGUGAAAUUCGUAGAUAUUUGUAGGAAUGCCGAUGGGGAAGCCAGCUUACUGGACAGAUACUGACGCUAAAGCGCGAAAGCGUGGGUAGCAAACAGGAUUAGAUACCCUGGUAGUCCACGCCGUAAACGAUGAGUGCUAAGUGUUGGUCUCAUAAGAGAUCAGUGCUGCAGCUAACGCAUUAAGCACUCCGCCUGGGGAGUACGACCGCAAGGUUGAAACUCAAAGGAAUUGACGGGGACCCGCACAAGCGGUGGAGCAUGUGGUUUAAUUCGACGCAACGCGAGGAACCUUACCAGCGUUUGACAUCUUAGGAAUGAGACAGAGAUGUUUCAGUGUCCCUUCGGGGAAACCUAAAGACAGGUGGUGCAUGGCUGUCGUCAGCUCGUGUCGUGAGAUGUUGGGUUAAGUCCCGCAACGAGCGCAACCC
rnacentral:rRNA from 1 species